rnacentral:rRNA from 1 species
AACGCACCUUGCACCCUUUGGUAUUCCGAAGGGUACGCCCGUUUGAGUGUCAUUGUAAUCUCACCACCAUUGACUUUGGUCUUUUGGUAUGUGGACUUGGAUGUUGCCGUCGAUGUCUACGGCUUGUCUGAAAUGCUUCAGUGUACCCCGCUUUGCGGCGUAUUCGGUGUGAUACAUCUUCACCGGAGUUGAUCCUUUUGGGGGUCGCGUCUGUAAUGUGUGGCUCUAUGCUUCCAACCGUCUCUCGAGACAAUCUCUGACAAUUUGACCUCAAAUCGGGUGGGACUACCCGCUGAACUUAA